rnacentral:rRNA from 1 species
GAUGAACGCUAGCGGCAGGCCUAAUACAUGCAAGACGAACGGUAAGUUUGAUAGCAAUAUUGAACCUAGAGUGUCGUAAGGGUGCGUAACACGUAUGCAAUCUACCCUCAACAGGAGGAUAGCUCCCCGAAAGGGGAAUUAACACUCCAUAAGAUCACAGGAUGGCAUCAUUCAGUGAUUAAAACUCCGGUGGUUGAGGAUGAGCAUGCGCAUGAUUAGUUAGUUGGCGGGGUAAUGGCCCACCAAGACGAUGAUCAUUAGGGGAACUGAGAGGUUGAUCCCCCACACUGGGCACUGAGAUACGGGCCAGACUCCUACGGGAGGCAGCAGUAGGGAAUAUUGGACAAUGGGUGCGAGCCUGAUCCAGCCAUGCCGCGUGCAGGAAGACGGCCUUCUGGGUUGUAAACUGCUUUUGCCAGGGGAUAAAAAGCCAUGCGUGGUCAAUUGAAGGUACCUGGUGAAUAAGCCACGGCUAACUACGUG